UUGUACAGUGGACAUCAAGCGUGCUUCAGCUCCUUGGCUUUGACUCUGUGGUAGAGCAAUGUCUGUUCUUUUCCUCUACACUGAAAGGACUACUUAUGCUUUUAAAUAUAUUCAGAACAUCAUAUUAAUG
ensembl:snoRNA